AUUACAACUCAGUAUUGUCACUAAUAGAGGGCUUGGAACUGUGCUUGAAUCCCAUCUUGUGGAUUUCAUAUCUCUCCAACUGCAAUAUGAUAUGAGGAAAGAUGGCAGAUUUCAAUCCGUGCCCAAGUCUGAUUUCAAGUGCCAGUCAAACAACUGUUAGUGGAAUGAAUGGCUUCUGAAAGUAUCAAAGAACCACUUUGUUACAAACAUGUGCAAUAUGCAAAUGCUUUUUUUUUUUUUUUUUUUUUUUUUUUUUUCAUCUGUUGCUGAUCUUGCAUCUUUCCACGCUUGGCAGUGAAGAGCUGCAGACACCUGCAGACACAAAUCAGUUUAAGAGAUCUGCAGAUUUGGGCACAUUCUGCUACAGAAUAAACAGUCGACCGUUUGCCGCUCCGCUGGAUGCACAGGCAGCCCGUCCAGUGUCCAAGAUGCCCAAAUCUAAACACCCUCAUACUGAAAGAGAACCUGCUUUAAUCAGGGUCAGUAUUCCUCGCUCAACUCUGCAGCCAGCGUACUAAUACAAAGGCCAUCGCCGCUGCAGUUUUGAUCCCUCUGACAACCUGGGUUUGUCCUCAGUGAGUUUCAGAUAGUCAAAUCAGCUUUAACACUGAUUUCCCGAGUGAAAUAUAUCGAGCAGACCAAUUAUUUUGGUGAUAUUUGACUUUUAAGAUUACCGCAUUGACUAAUAAUGUGUGUGGCAGCUUUGUUAAUGGCUAGCUCACAGUUUUAGUACUUUGAAUAUAUAGUAGUAUUUAGUUUUCUUGAUAAUUGUUAUUCUCAAAACCUUAAACAUGCAAAUAUGAAUUUUGCAGCACUGUUUGUCCAGAUGGUCCAAUCCCAUCCUGAAGUCUGACUUUGACCAUGAACUGGUGAGACAUUAUAUGGGAACACAGUCCAAGUUGCCCCUUCUACAUAUUUAUACUUGGCAGUUUGUCAGUUAUUAUUGCCAUUUCAAUAUCACUUCUUAUGAAAUCUGUAGAUUUAAUAAUAUGUAUUUUAUUACUGCUAAUGUCUGUUUUUUAAUGAACCUGCUUUAAAGGCUAAAGUGGUUUUAAGUCAGGUAUCAGGGUAGUUUUCAAAUCAGAUAAAAGAUAAUCUGAAAAUGUAGUUUCCCAGGAACCCUGAAACAAACAAAUAAACAAACAAAAAUCUAAUCAUUUUUAGAAAUCUGAGCAUUUUCCUUUGAAAUCCCAACAGCUGAAAACCCUCCGUUUCGGUUCUUUGUGUUCUCAUCUAUGCACACCUGAAUUGCUGCAUGUUUAUUUUUUAGCUCAACAUUUUUUUGGAUUGAUAAGUACUGCUGCGAUUAGAUCAUUCUUGCUCCGAUGACAGAAGAACAGACAGUGGAUUGAAACAAAGAGAGGGUUUAAAUACACCGAACGGAACAGGUGACGAACAAGACAGCAACCUUGCACUAGCAAACAAACAAAAGAAAAAUUAGAAACAACCACAACAAAAAGAAUGAACUAAACGGGGGAAGCAAGGGCCAAAAAGGGGAGAAGAGAUGAUUAAAAAUAAAUGCACAAGAACAGUACGUAAACCUGAGAUGUGUGUCUUUCAGCUCUCAUGGAAAGUUUAAUAUUUAAUAUAUUUAGACGUUUAAUAAAAUAUUUAAUGUUACCUGUUUCUAGAGGCCUGAAGAAGCCCUGAAGAACGCGGCGGUCAGGAAACUGGACCCUCAGCGCCACCUGAUGAACACAGUGACGAAUCAACCGCCUGAAUCCAGUCACAUGACCGAUCACAUGAUCACACUCACCUUCGGAUACCUGUCCAGCUUCUCCUUCAUCUGAGACUCUCGCAGAGAUUUAGUCACGAGAGGAGCUUCCUCCAGCGCCUUCCUAAAACACACCGAGAAGAUCAAAUCCAUUUAAAUAACACAAUUUUCUUUCUGUGUUAAAGAUGUUUUCUUUGGAUAGCUUGACGACUCGAAGGAGAAUAUAGAAAAAUAUUACUUAAUUAAUAUAUGUCUCCUGCUAGCUAAAUUUCUGCUCUAAAUUCUGUUAAUUCUGUGAGUUCUGUGAAUUCUAAAGCAGUGAAAACCAUGAUUAAUUCUCUUAAAAGAUUUGUGUAUUCUUUCUUUAUGUUUUUAUAAUGCUGCCUUAAUGGUUUGAUGUUUUGUACUGUUUAAUAAGAAAAAAGGAAAUCAGAAGGAAAGAUCCACGAUCCGCGUACUGAAAUCCCGAUUUGGAUCAAAUGAUUCGCAAUCUGAUUGGAGCGCUUCGAAACAGUGAAUCAUUUUGUGACGCAAUGGUUUAACUGUACUCUGUUUCACCUUUCACUACAUGCUUUUAAAAUUAUCACAAUUCAUAUCGAAAUUGGAAAAUUGUUAACUCUUUUGAUACUUUUUUUUCUAGUGAAUCACUUUGUGAACUGAUCUUUGUUUUCUAAUAUUGUUUUCUAAUAUCCUUUCAUCAAAUAAAAUAAUAAAAUAGAAAAUGUUUUAUACAACUUAACAUUUAAAAGAACAAAAU
rnacentral:lncRNA from 1 species